CUAUUGGAUGCUGGUGAGCUGCACAUGCAUAUCCCCAAGUUUGCUGACAGCAUAGCAAUAUUGUCCAACAAGGUCAAAAUAAUUUGUAUAAACUAUACUGAUGUUACAUAUUGGCAGACAUUUGGCUAACACUAUAGGUAGAUGGUAUUUUUUUUUUUUUUAAUUGACUCUAAGGGCACUUAAAAAGAGAGCAAGUACACUGUAGAGAUUG